AGCGGCAAGGAGAGGGCAGGGGAGAAGCAGGCUCCCCGCUGAGCAAGGAGCCAUGCAGGGCUGGGGCUUGAUCCCAGGACUCAAAUGACUGAGCCACCCAGGCACCCCUUCUCUCCUUCUCUUAAAGAGAUAAUGUGAAUAUCAGAACAAUAAAUGCAGACAGACAGUGCCUUACCAUAUUUAAAACACUGCCUAUGAUGUAGGCGUCAGGAGCUGAAGGUUAAGAAUGUCAGCCGAGGGGAGCACAUGAGGAGUUAAUGAGAGAUGGGUAACAGAAGGAAUGAAUGGGAUCCGAGGAGAAGGUUCGAGUUACCCCCAAGGAGAGUCUAGAAAAGGGAAGGAACAGACCAUCAGAGGACUGGCAUGUGUUUUGGAAGAGAUGACCCUGGAAUGCAAAAUAGGAAAGUCAAAAGUCAAUAGGGGAUGAUGGACAACAAUGAGGUGGGAAAGGAUCCGGGGUUAUGCUAUAGAUAUAUGUAAACAUGCACAGUGUUAUACUGGAAAAUGGCUAACCACUGGCCCUCCUGGGGUGGGGGAAAGCCUUGAUUUGUAGCAUUUGCUUAUCAUGCGAUAUAAAUACUCCCACAGUGACUAGUUUCAAGCUAUCGACGUGAAGGCGUUGAAAGCAGAGCCGGGAAGGGAUGUGCACGGUUGGGCCCCCGCAAGGUGGAAGGUAAGGAAGGGGACAUAACGAGGUCCAAGGAAACUCAAGAUCCAGGGGUGCCUCAGCUAUGAGGGGUAGCGACGUCUAAAGAGUGGCUCGAGGAGUGAUGGCAGAGGUCCUGAAGCCGGAGAGGUGCACACAGAGAUUAGAAGGAGCCCUCCAGCUAGGAGGGCGACUGUGGAGAAGGGGCUGGAGGAUAGAGUUUAUGAUCAAGGUCCUGAAGCCAUGGAGGGCAGUGUGACAUUGGCUCAAGGUCAGUAAUAAAAGUCACGGGAUGUUAUGCUCCAUCGUCCAUUGCCAGUUAUUGAGCAUCUUCUAUGGGCAUGAUGCUGUGUGGACUCUAAAGACAGAUAAGACAACAUUCCUAUCCAUUUAGUAGGGAGAUGAGGCCUGGACACACGAAAUACAGUGUCAUGUGACUGGUACAUGUGAGGGACGCUAUAGAUUAAAAGAUGAGGCUCUUAAUAUUAAUAAUAGAUAGCACUUAUUUGAGCCCUUACAAUGUCCCCAGCAUUGUUAGGUACUUUACCUGCAUUCCUUUUAAUCUUCAGAACAAUACAUUUAAUAGACGAAGAAAUGGAAUUAGAAAUUUUAAAUAACUUAUCCAAGUUCACACAUCUGGCAAGUGGCAGAGUCAGGCUUGAAACCCACAUCUUUCUGGUGCCAAAAAGCCUGUCCCCCAACCACUGUGUGUACUAGCCCCCCUCCCCCUUAAAGACAAGGCUCUGAUGGAGAUGAAGGAGAGUGUAAUAGGAGAUUUGGAGUUUCUUUUUAAAAAAUUACUCAGCUUGCAUAUUCCUAAAGAGUCAAUUCAUGUUAAGAAAUAAUUUCCCUUGUGCUCACAUGUGACAUGUAUUUUUAGGAUCUGCUGUUAGCAAGUGUAUUUUUGUGUGAUUGAGUGGGAGAGUGGGAAAGUUUUGCAGAGCUGUUUAAACCAGAAUGCAGGGGGCACAGCAGAGACUUCAAAAUCUCUGUCAUCUAACGUCUUGGAAAAACCACAAAGAGACGUGUUCUCAAUUUAUUAUUCUAUGUACAUCCCCAGAUGAAUGACUAGUUAAAGGUAUUGUUAAAGCAUUUUAAAUGACCCACUUCCAGCAGCGAACAAAAUCACUUACUGUGCCAAGCCAACUGGCGUUUCUGAGAUUAUAAAACCACAAAGUGAGGAAAACGUUAAAACUGCUAAAGAAAAAUGAUACACAAUAAUGGAGAAGGAUAAAAACUGAGCUUUAUUGUCUGCAUAGGCAGAUGGCUGACCACUAGGUGGGCCUCAGUGUAAUGUCCAGGGUAAUUGGCUGCUGGGGUUUUUCUGGCGAGGAAGCUUCAGACUUCAGCUUGGUACACAAAAUCCUGGCGCAUUUCUUUCCUAUGCCCUGCUCCCUGCCUUCUCCUCAUGACUAGAUCUGACAGUUGAUCCCAGCAGGCAAUUGAAAACAGAAAGUUACCUUUAUCUUAAAAUGCUAUUCUGGAAAUAACGACAUGAAAGGUAAUUAAGGACCGGAUUUCCUAUCCACCAUUCUCUUCUGCAUGUACAAUUACCCGCAGAUAUAAAAUUGCCUGCUUUGAUAAUUAUACCCUCCAAAUGAGGGGCAAGUGGCUAAUUAUGCCCACAUGUGGCCGAUUGCACUCUCCAUUAGCCAAUUAUGUGCACGAUUAUUUGUGCACAUAAAUAAUUGUACUCAUGGAAAAUAGCCGACCUCCUUUCAAAUGCUCCUGCUUUGAGUGGCUGAUGGAGCGACUGUCACACUGGAAAUGUGUGUGAAAGAGUUGGGAGUGAAAGAGUAUCAGAUACCAGGAAACGCACAAGGGACCAGAGCUUGCGGGUAACGCUGAAGCAAAUGGCAGUGGGAGUCCAGGAGAGCAGGAAGGACCACAGGACGGAAGGGUGAGCCUGUGGGUGAGGAAGGUGCUUCCGACGUUGGCUGAGUGGCUCACGUGUGGUGACCUUGAGCAAGUCAUUAACCUUCCCCCCUUCCUACUGGUUCUGCAUACACAAUGAGGAUGAUAAUAAUGCCCAAGUCCCAGCUCUAUUGUAGGAUGGAUCCGACAAUUCAAAAGGAUUUGCAGUCUACUUCGGAUAAAAGCACUACGUAAUAUGAGGCAUUACGAUGUGGAUCAGCACGUUUCCAGUUGCCAAGGAAAGGUAAUGACCCUCCUUAGCAAACCAGGACCUCUGGCUUGGAGGGAAAGGAGGUGUGAUAAGGACAGGAAGCUUGAUCCCCCAGGGCACUGAUGAGACACCAGAGAAUGACGUAGUCAUACAGAAUUCAUUCAUUCAUUCAUUCAUUCAUUCCUUCAACAGACAAGAGUCAGCCUUUCACAUGGAGCUGCUCUGAUUAGUAAAUGAGGGGAACUUUUACUUCACGCCUAGGAAAUCUGGCAUGGGUUUUCGCAGUUUGAUUGGCAGGCAAACUCAAUGCCAAUGAAUGCUGUGAGGUAGGGUCACUUUUAACAACGCAAGAACUGCGGUUUUCAUGCCAAUACUAACAAGCAGUAGAUGUCACAGGGUAAGGCCAAGAAACAAGAUAGCAGCUUUGCUACCUGCCUGUGCUCCCAUCUUCCCUUUCACACACAGUAGGAGGAAGUAUUCUGCCUCAUGGGGGGAAGGAAAAAGAUUCCCAGAGGCAAAAAUGCUAAGUUAGUUUUGAAAGAAGAGGUGUUUGCCAGAUAGGUGGGACAUAGGGGGAUGUGGUCAUAUUGUAGGAAACCAAGGUAUAAAAUUGCCUGGUCUAGGGUUAAAUGUGUGGACUCUGAAACCAGACUCUGCCUGGGUUUGAAUCCUGACUGUGUGAUUUGAGCAACUUACUUAACCUCUCUGUGUUUCUGUUCACUCUUAUAAGAUGGGGAUUAUAAUAGACUAUGUCAUAAAGUUCUGCAAGGGUCCAAUUAAUACAUAUAUAAAUAGAAGUAUUUAGAGCAAUGACUAACACAGAAGAAGCACUAUCUGGCAUCAUUUUAAUUACUAGACUAAAAAUAGACCAAAAAGUCCAUCCAAGAAAAGCAAUACUAGUGGUUCUCAAUCUUUAGUAUGUCUAAAAAUCACAUGCAUAACUGAGCAAAUAAAGCAAAUUCCUGGGUUCCAUCCUCAGAGAUUCUCACUCACUAGGUUGGGCUAGAACCCAGGAUAUCUUCACUUCAAACAAACAUCUCCCGAAUCCCACCCCAUGUGAUUCUGAUGCAGGUGAUCUGCAGACCAGGCUUUGAGAAAUAGAAUCACACAGAAGUGGCUCUGACCACAUCCCAUUUCUUACCUGGCAUAUCUAACAUGUGAGAAGGAGAUUCUAAGGCCUUGUGUUGAAGGUCUUUUUCUGGGAUUUCUGCUUACAAGAGCCUCUUCAGGAACAGGCAGUGAGAACCCAGAAUGGCAAUAACAAGUCUCCUCCAAAGCAGAACUGUGUCUGCGCUGUAUGGUCAGAUGGGCACACCGGCAGCUUCCUCCUCUAACUCUUCUGUGUUUUCAGGAGACGGGAUUUAAAAAAAAAAAAUUAGUAUUUUUAUUAUGAGAUGAAUCUCAUGUCUCUAAUUCUAUAAAUAAGGAAACCAAAGCAUAAACAUCUGCACUUAGGGGCACAAGUUACCAAAGCCAGAUUGCUCCCAUCUCCGGGUGAUUCCCAGCAGUGGGAAUGAAGGUGGACUUGCCCACAGUGCAAAAUAUUGACCUGUGGCUGGAGGCUCUGCAUUUGCCAGAAAGAACUCGUUCUGCCUGCGGUGCGUCAAUGCUUAAGAUAUCUAGCCCUUCCAGCUCACUGUCCCGGCCUGGGCAUGUCAGGCCUCGGGUCCCCUUCAGACCAUGUGGUCUCUGGAGCUGUGGCUCUCCAUGGUUGGCAGUGGCACCUGAGUCGGCCACAGGGAUGGGAUGCUGGUUGCACGGGACCGGGUCAGUCCUGACCUGGUCAGCGGGCCGGAGCUGUCGGGAGCCGAGGAGGUGGGUAGCUGCUGCUGUGAACUCCCUUCUCCCGAGACUGCCAAAUGGCCAUCAGACAGUGUUAAUGACUUUUGAUUUAGGUUUGAACAGAGCAGUCCCUUGGGCCAUUUACUGUGCUGUAUCAUCCUUUCUGGAAAGUGCUCUCUAAGUAACUGCCCAGCAGACUGAGGAAAUAAAAUGCUCACAGAGGGGGAAAGAAAAAAACAAAACACAGAAAGCCUGACUUUUCGUAACACGGUGUUUAGGUCUAGAACUGGAUCAUGAAAGGGGCUUAAAUUUUCUGUAAUCAUUGCAGAGAACACUCAUUUAUCCCCUCCCUACCCCUCACACCUGCCUGCCUCUGUCUCUCCAUCACACACACACACACACACACACACACACACACACACACACACACAGUCAUUGCCAAUAGUAAUAGAGUUGCUUCUUUACCUCUUGGAAAGAAACCUCAUUUUGAUGAAGACCGUGCUGACUAGCCUGUCUCGUAAUUGUGGAGACAAUGCUUUAUGCCGAUAUCUUUGCACAGCUGAAGGGCCUGGUGGAAGCUGUCUUCUAAACAAAAUAAGAUAGAAAGAUUCCUGCCAAGGGUUGGCAAAACUGCAGUCUUCUCUCCUCUCCCCAAUGCUCACAGCUUCGGGCGGGGGGCGGGGUGGGGUGGUGACGAGCACGCGUGGGCAGGGUCCCCUGAAGGGAAGAUGGGGGAAGAAAUAUAUGUGGAAGUCAGGCUGGCUGACAGAAAGAAUCUACCCCCGCUUUGGUAACUGCUCUGAAAUAACUUGGCAGAAGUUUAUAAAGACCUAUUGCAGGGACUAGAGGAAGCCCUUAAGGCUGAGACAUUUAUCCCUACACAGACUCUUGAGAAGGUACCUUGCACAGUGGUCCGUAUUCUUACUCUGACAAUGCUAAAGAGAAGGACUGCAGGUCAUGUCUCUCCUCCCACGAUUAUGACAGAAGGUGACAUCUUCUGAGGGUUCACCAUGUGCCAAGGGCUGAUCGAAGCGCUUUACUGUAUAAUCACAUCUAGUCCUCACAGUUAUCAGAAGGGAGUGGGUAUGGAGCAAAAACCAAUAAGGGUGUCCAGGAAUUGCUACCCUCUCUGGGCCCCUGUAAACAUAGUAAUUGUGUUUUCUUCUCCAAAUGCUAUGCAUUGCUUCUAUUGCUGAGGUAUUCACUGUAGAAAGAAGACAUAAUAGUAAUGAUGUAAAAGGGUGCUGGUCAAGACAGCAUCCAACUGCGGUGCUCACUGAAGGCUGAACCCAAAACUCCAGCUUCUCGAUCAUCCCAGGAUGAAGAUCGCUUGGUUCAAGGACAAGCCAGGAAAUGAAUGCCACUCGCCCUUUGUGUGGGAUCUGGAUGAGACUGCUGAUCACAGUGUUUUCAUUCUGCAUUUUAUCUCAGCAAGGGGCAAGCAGAUGACCCAAGCCAGGCCAGUUAGAUAUGACCUCCAUAUCAUCUGCUUAGAGAGUCUUAAGCAUGGUGUCACCCCGCUCAAAGUUUGGUUGAUAAGCAGAAGGUGACUGAAGCUGGGUCAUUCUAACACAGUACCCCAAAGAAAGACUAUCCAUGUGACCAUUAUAUGAAAGUCCCUGGAGUUACCCUGGUUCCCAUCCUUCCUGAUGUCAUUGAUUUGAAGAACUACCCAAUCUUUCCAGUGUUCUCUUUUGCUAGAGACAGUCAAAAUUGCCAUCUGUUCUUUGCAACUAAGGAACUCUAAAUGAUAGACUUGUUGCUAGACAUUUUGGUUAUUUUUAUUGUUUUGGAUACUUCUGUGAUAAACAUCUUUGUGUGCUUGUGUGUGUAUAAUGGCUUUUUAUAUAUUUUAAAUAAUUUCCCAGAAGCAUAAUUACUUAGUCAAAGGAUAUGAACAUUUUUCUGAUUCUUAAUAUAAAUUGCUCAAAUGUUUUAAAGAGGAUUAUGUGAAUUUACAUUUUCUAUAUUACAGAAGGCAUUUAUACUAAAAAAUACUACAAAAAUCUGCCUCUCCGUUCCGAAGGACCUUGUAAUAGAUGCUGUGUUGAAUGUACUUGAUAUAGGAACAGAGUGCUUUCAGUUUAGCUUUAAAAUAAUUUCACUGGGCUGUUCAUAAGAUCUUAUGGAGUUACGGCGAAACAGGCAUAUUAACAUAGGUUAAUUUGCACCAGACCUAGGCUAGUAAAGAGAUUGUGUAUUCAACAGUCUUAAAUCUGUAAUAAAAAGCUGAUACUCAGUGGAUAUUGAAUAAACACGUUGCUAGUGUGUUUGCAUUAUUCCAUGAAAUCCUCAAAAUGACCCUACUGUUAUCCCUAUCUUAUAGGGAAGGAAAAGAAGACUUCGAGAACUUGAUUAACUUUCCCAAAGGCUGUACUGGGACUAGAACCCAAAUCCACGUGCCCCUUAACCCUCAUUGUAAAACUAUAUCCUAGUCAUCUGUUCCUACAGAACUUGGGGUCAGAAAGCCAAGUUGGACUCCUGACUCCACCACAUAGUAAUUGGAUAACCUUGGAAAAUCCACUUAAUUUCCUUGAAAAUUAGUUUUCUAAUCUAUAAAACUAAAAUAAUAAUACCUACUCUACCUGCCUCAUAGGACUUUGUGA